rnacentral:rRNA from 1 species
CAAGUCGAACGGGAUCUUCGUAGCUAGUGGCGGACGGGUGAGUAACGCGUGAGAAUCUGCCUUCAGGAGGGGGAUAACGACUGAAAACGGGCGCUGAUACCCCAUAUGCCUCCGUGUGAAAAGUAAUUCGCCUGAAGAUGAGCUCGCGUCAGAUUAGCUAGUUGGUGGGGUAAGAGCCUACCAAGGCGACGAUCUGUAGCUGGUCUGAGAGGAUGAUCAGCCACACUGGGACUGAGACACGUGCCAGACUCCUACGGGAGGCAGCAGUGGGGAAUUUUCCGCAAUGGGCGCAAGCCUGACGGAGCAAGACCGCGUGCGGGAUGACGGCCUAAUGGUUGUAAACCCCUUUUCUCUGGGAAGAAGACUGACGGUACCAGAGGAAUCAGCCUCGAGUAACUCCGUGCCAGCAGCCGCGGUAAUACGGAGGAGGCAAGCGUUAUCGGGAAUUAUUGGGCGUAAAGCGUCCGUAGGUGGUUAUUCAAGUCUGCUGUCAAAGCGUGGGGCUUAACUCCAUAGAGGC